GACGAACCGUGCGAACGUUAUUCGGAAUCACUGGGCGUAAAGGGCUCGUAGGCGGCCAACUAAGUCGGAUGUGAAAUCCCCAGGCUUAACCUGGGAACUGCAUCCGAUACUGGAUGGCUUGAAUCCGGGAGAGGGAUGCAGAAUUCCAGGUGUAGCGGUGAAAUGCGUAGAUAUCUGGAGGAAUACCGGUGGCGAAGGCGGCAUCCUGGACCGGCAUUGACGCUGAUGAGCGAAAGCUAGGGGAGCAAACGGG
rnacentral:rRNA from 1 species